rnacentral:piRNA from 1 species
UGCAAAGCCGACCUAUGCUACAGCCCA